CGCGUAGGCGGCCUGGUAAGUUGGGUGCGAAAGACCAUGGCUCGACCAUGGGGUUGUAUUCAAUACUGCUGGGCUUGAGUAUAGGAGAGGAGAGUGGAAUUCCCAGUGUAGCGGUGAAAUGCGUAGAUAUUGGGAGAACACCGGUGGCGAAGGCGGCUCUCUGGACUAAUACUGACGCUGAGGCGCGAAAGCUAGGGGAGCGAACG
rnacentral:rRNA from 1 species